rnacentral:rRNA from 1 species
GACGACCUCAGAGCAGGCGAGACUACCCGCUGAAUUUAAGCAUAUUACUAAGCGGAGGAAAAGAAACUAACAAGGAUUUCCUUAGUAGCGUCGAGCGAACAGGAAUUAGCCCAGCACUGAAUCCCGCGGUUCUGCCGUUGGGAAAUGUAGUGUUCGGGAGGGUUCGUUUUAUCCCGCGGCGUCGGACCGCGUCCAAGUCCAUCUUGAAUGGGGCCAUUUACCCGUAGAGGGUGCCAGGCCCGUAGAGACCGGGACGCGCCGUGGGUGAACCUCUCCUUAGAGUCGGGUUGCUUGAGAGUGCAGCUCUAAGUUGGUGGUAAACUCCAUCUAAGGCUAAAUAUG